GCAUUGGUGAUUCAGUGGUAGAAAUCUCAGUUUCCAUGUGGGAGACCCAGGUUCAAUUCCUGGCCAAUGCC
rnacentral:tRNA from 1 species